UAUAUAUUUAAAAUAUUAAUCGCGUGUACUUAAAAUGCAGAUAUUUGGAAGAAUUGUAAAAAUAUUUAGAAUAGUACAAGCGCAGUACAAAAAUGUCUUUGUAAUAAAAGAAAUAAUAACCUAUACUUAAUUAGUAAAUAAUAUAAUCUUCUUCUUUCGAACAUUUGGACCCAAUUUUUAUUGGUCGAGACAUCAACUAGUGUGCGCAUACGCAUUGGUUCACCUUUCUUAUUACAUCAUGACCUCUGUAUCGGCCAUCGCUUUUGAUCGCUUUGUCGUCCAGUAAAUUACUCAAAGGCCACUAGAGGGUGUGUUAGAGUCUUCUAAUAGCUUUCUCACAAGUGCUGUUUUAUAUACCUUGUAGUAUAUAUACGUGGAAUUAAAUUACUUUUUCUUUGCUUGAUAAUUGAAUUACAUUUUAAAUCUGAAGGAAAUGUAAUUCUACUAUUUAAGAUCCUAGGAACUUCCUGACCCAAAGAACUAUCAUCUGCCCAGGGUUAAUGGGCAGGAAUCAUGGGUAUCAUUCCAUUACAAGUAUUAUAUUUUUAUCAUACGUAUUACUUAAUUCAUAUUUAUAAAACCGUAACUUCAAACAAGACUCUUCUUUCUCACUUUAUAGAUAUAAAUUUAUAAAAAUUGUACAUGUAUGUGUACAUAGUCGAAAAAUGUUGCAUAAAAAAGUGAGAAGCAUCUAAUAACAUGUAAUAGAAAUAAAGUGGGAAAGAAUAUUAGAAAGAAUAACACAAUUACAUAAGAUAUAACCAUGUAAGUAGAUUAAAUAUAUUCAUUUAAUCACACAGAAAUAAUUUCAUAACAAUAUAUGAUAUUACAUGUACCAUAAAUCCAUACAAUUUUAAAAUUACUGUAUUAAUAUUUGAUUUACAAUGGUAAUAGUUAUAACUAAAAGUCAAAUACAAUACUUUCUUUUUUGGGGAACUAUUAUUACAAAUUGUAUCGUGUAAUAUAUGAAACAAGAGAACAAUAGCUAGUGAUAAUGAUAUAUCUUUAUCACUUACGUCGGUACGUUUUGUAAAAUUUAUUUCUAAUUAUUA